rnacentral:ncRNA from 1 species
AUUUAAUGAACAUGGCAAAACUCACCUGGCCUGGACACUGUGAGAAUUAACAGAUUGAGAGCUCUUUCAUGAUUCGGUGGUUGGGGGGUGCAUGAUCGUUUUUAGUUGGUAGAGUGAUUUGUCUGGUUUAUUCAUAAAAAACGAACAAAUAUGGAAAAGAAUAGAGUUCAAUAUCCCAGCUAUGUUUUCUUAACUAAAUAAUAUCCAACACCACCAAUAAAUCGAAUUGCGAAGAACCGAUUUUCGGAACUAUUAUAUUUAGA